rnacentral:lncRNA from 1 species
CGGGUAUCUACUUGGGAUCAGUCUGGAACAGUCCUCUUCAAGUUAAAUUUUUUUCUCUAAGAAAAUUUAGCCUGCUGAAUCUGAACGAAGUCUGGAUUGCGAUCAAUACUUGAUCUCUUUCCUUGAUCUUCUUCUUCUCUUGCCUUUCUUUCUUGCUUUGUGCUGCUAUUAAACACUAGAAACCAGCAAGAAGGGGAUGCCUAAUAGUUUGGGCGUGGA